rnacentral:rRNA from 1 species
CGGACGGGUGAGUAACGCGUAGGCAACCUGCCUUAUGCAGAGGGAUAGCCAUUGGAAACGAUGAUUAAAACCUCAUAACGCCGGAGAGUCACAUGGUUUUCCGGCCAAAGAUUUAUCGGCAUAAGAUGGGCCUGCGUCUGAUUAGUUAGUUGGUGGGGUAACGGCCUACCAAGGCGACGAUCAGUAGCCGACCUGAGAGGGUGAUCGGCCACAUUGGAACUGAGACACGGUCCAAACUCCUACGGGAGGCAGCAUG